rnacentral:rRNA from 1 species
AUCGAACGCUGGCGGCAGGCUUAACACAUGCAAGUCGAACGAGUGGCGGACGGGUGAGUAACGUCUGGGAAACUGCCUGAUGGAGGGGGAUAACUACUGGAAACGGUAGCUAAUACCGCAUACCAUCAGAUGUGCCCAGAGGGGAGUAGCUUGUUGGUGGGGUAACGGUUCACUAAGGCGACGAUCCCUAGUUGGUCUGGGAGGAUGACCAGCCGCACUGGACCUAAGACGCGGUCCAGACUCCUACGAGUGGCAGCAGUGGGGGAUAUUGCGCAAUGGGCGCAAGCCUGAUGCAGCCGUGCCGCGUGUAUGGAGAAGGCCUUCGAGUUGUAAAGUACUUACAGCGAGGAGGCGUUACCCGCAGAAGAAGCGCCGGCUAACUCCGUGCCAACAGCCGCGGUAAUUC